rnacentral:rRNA from 1 species
GAUGAACGCUAGCGGCAGGCCUAACACAUGCAAGUCGAGGGGCAUCGCGGUGCAGCAAUGCACUGGCGGCGACCGGCGUACGGGUGCGUAACGCGUAUGCAACCUGCCCCGCACCGGGGGAUAGCCCGCCGAAAGGCGGAUUAAUACCCCAUGGUCCCGGGGGCCCGCAUGGGCAUCCGGGUAAAGCCUUGGCGGUGCGGGAUGGGCAUGCGUGCCAUUAGCUGGCUGGUGGGGUAACGGCCCACCAGGGCAACGAUGGCUAGGGGGUCUGAGAGGAUGGUCCCCCACACUGGUACUGAGACACGGACCAGACUCCUACGGGAGGCAGCAGUGAGGAAUAUUGGUCAAUGGGCGGAAGCCUGAACCAGCCAUGCCGCGUGCGGGAUGAAGGCCCUACGGGUUGUAAACCGCUUUUCCCCGGGAAGAAUAACCCCGAUGAGUCGGUGAUGCCGUACCGGGGAAUAAGGAUCGGCUAACUCCGUGCCAGCAGCCGCGGUAAAGUGUGUGUA